UUUGUAGACAUUUGAAGCAGUUACAAGUGUAUAGAAAUACAGUCAGACCCAUGUGAACCACUAAAUGGACUUGCUAUGAUGAUUUUCCUUUGAUAUGAUUCUAUGUUUUCAGAAAGAUUGAAAAAUAAGCCACAAUGCUUUUAUCUUGCCUGGGAUCGAACCUUCACGCAAGUCCUAUCUCAGAAAGAUGAUGGAACAUCAUAAACAGUUGAGUUGCUAUAUGUUGAAGCAGUCACUCUUCUCAACUCAAAUCCAAUGAGUUUAACGGAUUUUUAAAGAGAAAGAUUGAAGUAUAAGAUUUAAGUUGUCUAUCAUGAAUGAGUUUUCCAUAGCCGAAAUUGUUUUGACUCUCCUUUUUGGCUUUUUUCAUAAAGAUGAUGGAACAUCAUAAACAGUUGAGUUGCUAUAUGUUGAGGCAGUCACUCUGCUCAACUCAAAUCCAAUCAAUUCAAAGGAUUUUUAAGGAGAAAGAUGGAAGAAUAAGCCACAAUGUUUUUAUCUUGCCUGGGAUCGAAACUUCACGCGAGUCCUAUCUCAGUGCCAUUAUGAAUUUCCCCAUGGCCGAAGUCGUUUACGCUCUGCAUUUUGGCUUUCUUUUAUAAAGAUGAUGGAACAUCAUAAACAGUUGAGUUGCUAUAUGUUGAAGCAGUCACUCUGCUCAACUCAAAUCCAAUGAGUUUAACGGAUUUUUAAAGAGAAAGAUUGAAGUAUAAGAUUUAAGUUGUCUAUCAUGAAUGAGUUUUCCAUAGCCGAAAUUGUUUUGACUCUCCUUUUUGGCUUUUUUCAUAAAGAUGAUGGAACAUCAUAAACAGUUGAGUUGCUAUAUGUUGAGGCAGUCACUCUGCUCAACUCAAAUCCAAUCAAUUCAAAGGAUUUUUAAGGAGAAAGAUGGAAGAAUAAGCCACAAUGUUUUUAUCUUGCCUGGGAUCGAAACUUCACGCGAGUCCUAUCUCAGUGCCAUUAUGAAUUUCCCCAUGGCCGAAGUCGUUUACUCUCUGCAUUUUGGCUUUCUUUUAUAAAGAUGAUGGAACAUCAUAAACAGUUGAGUUGCUAUAUGUUGAAGCAGUCACUCUUCUCAACUCAAAUCCAAUGAGUUUAACGGAUUUUUAAAGAGAAAGAUUGAAGUAUAAGAUUUAAGUUGUCUAUCAUGAAUGAGUUUUCCAUAGCCGAAAUUGUUUUGACUCUCCUUUUUGGCUUUUUUCAUAAAGAUGAUGGAACAUCAUAAACAGUUGAGUUGCUAUAUGUUGAGGCAGUCACUCUGCUCAACUCAAAUCCAAUCAAUUCAAAGGAUUUUUAAGGAGAAAGAUGGAAGAAUAAGCCACAAUGUUUUUAUCUUGCCUGGGAUCGAAACUUCACGCGAGUCCUAUCUCAGUGCCAUUAUGAAUUUCCCCAUGGCCGAAGUCGUUUACGCUCUGCAUUUUGGCUUUCUUUUAUAAAGAUGAUGGAACAUCAUAAACAGUUGAGUUGCUAUAUGUUGAAGCAGUCACUCUUCUCAACUCAAAUCCAAUGAGUUUAACGGAUUUUUAAAGAGAAAGAUUGAAGUAUAAGAUUUAAGUCGUCUAUCAUGAAUGAGUUUUCCAUAGCCGAAAUUGUUUUGACUCUCCUUUUUGGCUUUUUUCAUAAAGAUGAUGGAACAUCAUAAACAGUUGAGUUGCUAUAUGUUGAAGCAGUCACUCUUCUCAACUCAAAUCCAAUGAGUUUAACGGAUUUUUAAAGAGAAAGAUUGAAGUAUAAGAUUUAAGUUGUCUAUCAUGAAUGAGUUUUCCAUAGCCGAAAUUGUUUUGACUCUCCUUUUUGGCUUUUUUCAUAAAGAUGAUGGAACAUCAUAAACAGUUGAGUUGCUAUAUGUUGAGGCAGUCACUCUGCUCAACUCAAAUCCAAUCAAUUCAAAGGAUUUUUAAGGAGAAAGAUGGAAGAAUAAGCCACAAUGUUUUUAUCUUGCCUGGGAUCGAAACUUCACGCGAGUCCUAUUUUAGAACUGUACGCUAGAUGAUGGACAAAAACUAAAUCUUGGAAGUUAUGAAUUUUGUUAGUUGGUUUGCUUGAAAAUGCUAAUACAAAUUUGCAUCUUAAGUGAUCUGCAAUGCAAUUAAAAACAUUACAAUCUGUACCCGGCGACAAGAAAUAAAUUGCACUCUGAAAUGUCAUGCAUUGUUGACUUCUCAUGGACCUCAUGUCAAAUUUUUUUUUUUUAAUCAAUUUUAAUCAAAUAUUCAUACUAAAUUUGUUGAUAUAUUCAAAUAAUUGAAAAAAUAAUAUCUUCCUACUGUGCGAACUUUAAUAAGAUUAAAUUUGGACAUAUCCGAGAAUAUGAUUCGUAACCACUCAGAUUGGACCAAUUUAAGCGAGCUGUCUUCAUUUGACUAUUCAAAAGUUGUUUUUAACCAACGUUGAAUAGUUCGAGACGAAAUUUCAUUUUUAAAACUGCUGCUUCUCUGAUGCUAUCUCAACAUAAUUUUUAAACGCAUCCUGAGACUCAUUUAAUAAUAACACGAUCUUUCCUUACCCCUUUGCUAAGAUUGUUACCACAAAAUAUUACUUAACAAAAAUGCUGAAUUACAGACGUGGGAACAGACGUGAUUUAGCGACGACAAAGAUAAAAAUUAGACGAAUCGGAAGUCACAGGCUGAAAAAGUAAAAUAGUUAUAAAAUUCACAGUGCGGCUUUUUUUGUCGCCGGGCGUAGUAGCUUACAAUGAGCCUAAAAAAUAAAUGACUUGUUGAAUCUCUAUUAUAUAAAUCAGUAUUAUCAAUAAAUUAUGAAAUCAGUAUAUAAACAA